CCUACGGGAGGCAGCAGUGAGGAAUAUUGGUCAAUGGGAGAGAUCCUGAACCAGCCAAGCCGCGUGAGGGAAGACGGCCCUAUGGGUUGUAAACCUCUUUUGUCGGAGAACAAAACCCGGGACGUGUCCCGGACUGCGUGUAUCCGAAGAAAAAGCAUCGGCUAACUCCGUGCCAGCAGCCGCGGUAAUACGGGGGAUGCGAGCGUUAUCCGGAUUUAAUGGGUUAAAAGGGUGCGUAGGCGGUCCGUUAAGUCAGCGGGAAAAUUGCGGGGCGCAACCCCGUCGAGCCGUUGAAACUGGCAGACUUGAGUUGGCGAGAAGUACGCGGAAUGUGCGGUGUAGCGGUGAAAGGCAUAGAUAUCGCGCAGAACUCCGAUUGCGAAGGCAGCGUACCGGCGCCAGACUGACGCUGAGGCACGAAAGUGUGGGUAUCAAACAGGAUUAGAUACCCUGGUAGUC
rnacentral:rRNA from 1 species